UCCUGCAAAUUCCAAAGUCGGAUCCCGGCUGGAACAUUUCACCGCGCUUGCCACGUCACUUUGCCUCCCCUUUCGUCCCUUUUUUACUUUCGUCCUCUCUUUUCUUCAUUUAUCGCUUUCUCUUUACUUCGAAAACCACUGCUAACGGAACAUUUCUCAGUAUUAUUCAUAAAACAAUGGUAAAGAGCGAAAACUGCACACAGUUCAGAAUUCGAAAAUGGAGCCAUCAUGGCAAACGCUCUGUAUUCCUCGUGAAGAAACUUCAGAGGCCUGGAAUAUGCAUUUGCCACGCAGCAGCGGAGAUUCGUGUGCGGUCCUCGGGGCAGUGACCUGCGGUCCAGCCGCCCUCUUUCCUCCCCCCCGCCUGCCCAGUGUUCAGACUACCUGUUCAUCAUGCUGCAGCUGAACAGUAGUCCGCACAUUGGUUAGGCUGGGCAGGGACACACACACCCGUGGCUCGAGCAAAUGGACUCUACCAUUCGCUGCUGGACGGGGGGAUUUAACAUAUAAACAAUCUCUCUUGGGGAAUAAAUUGAGACGUUUACAUUGAAGUUGCUUCGGAGCGUCUGCCAAAUGCAUUGAAGUACACAUUCAUAAAUUUAUGUGCUCCCUGGGAAUGAAACCCAAGGCCUUGAUGUUACUAGCACUGCAUUCUACCAGUCAAGCCACAGGAACUCUGGAAAACAGCUAACGUUUGCACAAAUUUCAAACACACAUGGAGUUCGAGCCCAACGUGAGUGGAGCUGGUUUUAAGCUACAGCCAUAGGGGGAGGGACUGCAAAAGAGGAAUGAAGAACAGAUCUCACCUCCUCGUCCUUGUACCAGGACAGCGAUUCGGCCGUCAGGACAAACCAGUACGCCUUGGAGCCGCCCUUCAUAAUGCUGAUGUUGAGGGUUAGCCAGCCUUUACGGAUCACCUGUGGGACAGAGGGUGGAGGGGGGCGGAGGGUGUAGGGCAUGCCAAAAGAGUGGGGGAAAAAUUUAUGAGAUCCACACAUGUACACUCAACAGUCUUUGUGCUGGAAGCUUGUGCCCUAUACUGAACAAACCUGAAAACCCUAUUGUGCAAACCUUUGGUGCUUACCUGUUGUGGAAAUAUUUUGUGUAACUCUGCCAAAGUUUGGUUGCCUUCUAUGGUGGCUAAUGUGAUUAACUAAAUAGCUCUGCUUUGUACAUUACAGCAGUGGUUCUCAACUGGUUUCGAAAUUUUCGAAAGGCAAAAAAAGGUCCAUUGUUUUGAUUUUUUGUUGUGUGUAAAAAUGUUCCAUUGUUCUGUUAAAAAAAAAUUCAGGCAAAAAAGGUCAAUUGUUAUUAAGUUUCAUUGUUAAUAUUAGCAAUGUAUAACACAGAAAUCACUUUUUUUAAAACAAGUAGCCUUAUGUUUGUCUACAAAGCGAAUCUGCGUGACCAGGUUGAACCCGUUGCGAAAUCUGCAUGUGGAAAUCUUACGCCCUCGCCGCGCAAUUCCCGAAUGUGUGGAUUUCAAUUGAAAUGAUUGCAUUUCGUACGUGAAAAUUUGCUGAAGUGUGGAAAAUGUGGGCCCAUCAAUAUGCAAAAAUAUUAACAUACGAAUAUUCAUAGCUAAACAGGAAAAGUGAUUAAUGCAACUGCAUGAACAACAGCAGAAGUGCGAUUUACCAACUUAAAUGCAUAAAACAUAAUGUAUCUGUAUUAGCAAAAAUGCCCUGAUUUUUGAUUUAAAGUGUUCUUUUUUUUAAACCUGAUAUACACAAUUGUAUGCAUAUUUAGAUUUAGUGUUAGGUUGCGAUUCACCAGUUGGGAACCACUGGACUACAGUAUCGAGCGUAACUCUGCACGUAGUCAGAACAUAAGGCAGCAAUUAAAGCUUAGUUACAAAUAAACGCUUUAGAAACUCUAAAUAUACACUAACAAAACCACUGGGGAGUGUCUUUAAGUCUUGAAAUAGAGCAACAAUAAAAGAACAAAGGAACAAUUGUGUUGUGCUUGUGGAUUAUUUCCUUCUAAAGUACAGGGCAACGUGACAGCAGAUGCCAUCCAGACCCACUGGAUGCCAGAGAACAGGGGUCAGAGGUCAGCAGUGGUAUGUUAGGCUCAAAUUAGUGAGUAAAAAAAAAGCCUACAUGUUGGUAAAAAAAAAAAGGAGAAUGCUGUUAGUGGUGUUAAAUGGAGAAAGAUGUACACUCAAAUGUGAAAACCUAUUGAACGGGAAGGAAUAGUGAAAGAAGACACAGGUAAACGGGUCGUAAGCUGGAGAAGAAAGGGUUAGUCAAGGAAACGGGAGGGAAAGGGCUUUCAGAUUUCACUGGUAAAGAAUUUUCAGUGUUAUUUUUGAGGUUACACCGUUUCGUAAAGUCAACAGAAUCAAAAUGAAUCUCAUUUCCAUUAUUAAUGCUCAUUCCAGCUCCGUUCUGGUACUACAUCUUACAUCGUAAUACCCCACAGCAUCAAUGACACUGAACGCUUUCCAUUUCCAAGAAAGAAAUGUCACAACAAAAUGUACUACAGUGCCAUCCCUUUUCUCCCUUUCCGUUUUGCUUUGUUCUCCGUAAAAACGGAGUGAAACUGAGAGGAGGGGGUUAAAGUUAGAGUUAGUGCCAACAGAAACAACACAGACAUAAAGCUAUAACAGGCUAUACAGAUUGUUUGCCUAGGUGGGGAAAUGCCAUCAACCUUCUGAAAUCUAGAGACCUGAUAACCAUCUCUGAGAGGGGAAAAAGACAGAAGAGACUGAUGAGUGGAGAAAAACACCAGGACAGUACGGCUCAGGCAUCUCGUGCUAGGAUAUACUGUAGCGACCCGAACAAACGACCACAAAAACGCUCUUGAAUAUCUUUUCAUUAGACAGAAACCCAGCAAAUAUCUGUGGUCACAGCCUGGCUUGGGCUCUGUAUUCUCUAACAUGGAUCCAAUUACCCUUUUGCCACCCACAACUGAAAAAAAAAUGAGAGCAUGACCCUAUUUUCUGUUGUGUUUGGAUUUCACCGUUCUUCCACGUUGCACAUUCUGACUGCUGUCUCUCUAAAUUAAACAAAUUAAUCCUAAUAUUGUGUACAUUUAAAAUGCAUAAUUAUCAACAAGUUAAUCAAAGAAAUGGCAACAUAUGAUCAGAGAUUUCAUUAAACAGACAUUUGUUGAUAGAAGGGAUGAUUUUGAAUUAAAGACGAGAUGAUUAGAUGAUUACCUGCGAGAGGCGACUGUUAAUUACUCCAAUAGAAAUCUCUCAAUUAACUUUGCCCCAGAAAGGAUUUCUCAAAGGUUGAGCAGUUAAUUUAUUAAAUUAAAGCCAAUUGAUUAGCAAAAGGAACCCGACACUGCCACAUUCUGGUCAUUACCGGCACACCAAG